rnacentral:tRNA from 1 species
AAGAGAUUUAGAGAAAAGAUAGCUGCUAACUAAUUUUUUAAGCGGUUUAAUUCCGUUUAUCUCUUA